rnacentral:lncRNA from 1 species
GUAAGAACGCGUGAAUGGUAAUUUGUGUGAAGUUACUUGAUAGUUGGUGAUGAUAUUCCCGAGCAACGGUGCCAGAAAUCCUUCCUCAUACUUGUGAUAUGCGUUGGGUUUUCCAUGAAAAGGAACGGGUUAUCGCAACACAAUGUGGGUAAGCAUUUCCUAGAUUAAGAAACCAAGGUUUAUCUAACCAAUAGUAAUAUAAAUCCUCAACUGUCUUCAGCGGCUGCACACAAAAGAGCGAACAACUUGAACCGAACGCGGGCAAGAUGGUUGUCAAACCCCUUGACCUUAUUAUUUGCAAGUGAGUGAGGUGUGUAGAUAAUUGUAGAUAGCUGUGACUUGCAAAAUAAAAUAAAAUAAAAA